rnacentral:rRNA from 1 species
CAAUAGCGUAUAUUAAAGUUGUUGCAGUUAAAAAGCUCGUAGUUGGAUUUCGGGGCAGCCUGGCUGGUCCGCCGCAAGGCGAGUACUGGUCAGCCGCCCUUCCUCUCGAAAGCCCCGACUGCUCUUUAUUGCAGUGGUCGGGUAGUUCGGGACGUUUACUUUGAAAAAAUUAGAGUGUUCAAGGCAGGCCUACGCCUGAAUACAUUAGCAUGGAAUAAUGGAAGAGGACCUCGGUCCUAUUUUGUUGGUUUCCAGGACCGAAGUAAUGAUUAAGAGGGACAGUUGGGGGCAUUCGUAUCUAAUUGUCAGAGGUGAAAUUCUCGGAUUUAUGAAAGACGAACAACUGCGAAAGCAUUUGCCAAGGAUGUUUUCAUUAA